rnacentral:lncRNA from 10 species
AAUUUUUUGAAUUUUUAGUAAAGACGGGGUUCCACCAUGUUAGCCAAGAUGAUCUGGAUCUUCUCACCUCCUGUUCCGCCCGCCUCGGCCUCCCAAAGUGCUGGGAUUACAGGCGUGAUCCACCGCACCUGGCCCAGUCUUUACCGUUCUAAGGUGGAUGAAUAUCAAAGUAGUCCCCGGGUUAGGAAAAAAAGCGCUUGGUGGAUGAGGCUGCAAACAACAAAAGCUGAGAGAGAGCAAAAUUAUGUAAGAGAGAGCAUAACUCAGGAGGACUCAGCCCAAGAUGGUGCUGGAGAAACUCCAAGGAGGUUCAAGUCUACAGGCAGAAUAAAGGUGACCAGCCACCGGCGACAGAGGAGAGUAUCCUGGGAUCAAGAGGAGGUGUAGCUGGAUUUUUCUGUUUCACCUGGCCUAGUUCACCACUCGAGCCACUUUACAUAUAAGGGAGCAGAGUGCCAACAUGGUCUCAGAGUGGUCCUUUCUGAUGUUGGUAUUCUGCGAAAAUUGUUCUGUUCAACUGGAGAACGCUGCCUUAGCUGAGAGUGCCAGCCUCAUUCCUAACAACACCAGUGGCAGCUGAUGAGAGUAGGCCACUUUCCAGCUGACAAGGACUACAAGAGCUCAGGUUUGGGGCAAGAGUAAAAAAUUGAGGAUUGAGAAGAAGGUGGAAAAAAAUCAAUUAAAAAGUGUAUUAUGGAAGUCAAUACUGAGAAAAAAAUCUGAGGAUAGUUGACAAUGACUCUCC